rnacentral:tRNA from 2 species
CCGCCCCUAGCUCAGCUGGAUAGAGCGUCGCCCUCCGGAGGCGAAGGUCAGAGGUUCGAAUCCUCUGGGGCGGG